CACAGACAACCAGGAUGUUGGCUUAGAAGCAGCCACUCAUUCAAAGAGUGCGUAAUAGCUCACUGGUCGAGUGAUCCUGCGCCGAAGAUUUCCGGGGCUAAAACUUACUACCGAAGCUACGGCAUCAGUAAUGAUGGGUAGGGGAGCUUCCCAUACGGGUUGAAGCAUGACCGUAAGGACAUGUGGACAGUAUGGGAGUGAGAAUGUUGGCAUGAGUAGCGAGAUGUGGGUGAGAAUCCCACAGGCCGUAAACCCAAGGUUUCCAGGGGAAGGUUCGUCCGCCCUGGGUUAGGCGGGACCUAAGCUGAGGCCGAAAGGCGUAGGUGAUGGACAACAGGUUGAUAUUCCUGUACUACCGAUAACCGUUUGAGAGAAGGGAUGACACAGUAGGAUAAGCUAAGCACACUGUUGGUUAUGUGUGCCCAAGCAUUGAGGCAGUCAAAGUAGGCAAA
rnacentral:rRNA from 1 species